GAUUUCAUGUCCUGAUUGCCUUCCUCUUUGUUUCCCUUUUCUGAAUAACAUUUUCUUUUGGAUGGCUUGGCAAGCAGGUCAUUAAGCGUAGAAGAGGCAGAACUUUGUUCAUGUGCUCAAAGUGCUUGGAGUCCAGCAUUUCUUCUACAGUGUCUUCGAGAUCUCAUCCCAAAAUGUUCAUUGUGGGCCACCUCAUGCUCCUUGCAAUUGGUGUCUCCCUCCACACAGCACCAUCAGAUGCUCUACGGUGUCGGGAGUGUGGAAUAUAUCAUCCAUAUCCAGAAUGUAAACCAGUUAGGAAGGACUGUCAACCUGAUACAAAAGAACACACCUGUGCAGUAUCAAGACUCUAUGAAAAAGGAGAGCUGAUAAGAACAUAUCGAGGAUGUCAUGGUAAGUCUGAAUGUGGUAAGAAAAGAACCUUCCCUCCUUCAAGAAGUAGUGAAGUCGUCUGUUGCCAUGAUCGUGACUUCUGCAAUGAAAACUUAUAGAGAGGUGCCUGAAGA